rnacentral:rRNA from 1 species
AAACUACGUGCCAGCAGCCGCGGUAAUACGUAGGUGGCAAGCGUUAUCCGGGAAUUAUUGGGCGUAAAGCGCGCGCAGGCGGUCUCUUAAGUCUGAUGUGAAAGCCCCACGGCUCAACCGUGGAGGGUCAUUGGAAACUGGGAGACUUGAGUGCAGGAGAGAAAAGUGGAAUUCCACGUGUAGCGGUGAAAUGCGUAGAGAUGUGGAGGAACACCAGUGGCGAAGGCGGCUUUUUGGCCUGUAACUGACGCUGAGGCGCGAAAGCGUGGGGAGCAAACAGGAUUAGAUACCCUGGUAGUCCACGCCGUAAACGAUGAGUGCUAGGUGUUGGGGGGUUCCACCCUCAGUGCUGAAGUUAACACAUUAAGCACUCCGCCUGGGGAGUACGACCGCAAGGUUGAAACUCAAAGGAAUUGACGGGGGCCCGCACAAGCAGUGGAGCAUGUGGUUUAAUUCGAAGCAACGCGAAGAACCUUACCAGGUCUUGACAUCCUUUGACCACUCUAGAGAUAGAGCUUUCCCCUUCGGGGGACAAAGUGACAGGUGGUGCAUGGUUGUCGUCAGCUCGUGUCGUGAGAUGUUGGGUUAAGUCCCGCAACGAGCGCAACCCUUGACCUUAGUUGCCAGCAUUCAGUUGGGCACUCUAAGGUGACUGCCGGUGACAAACCGGAGGAAGGUGGGGAUGACGUCAAAUCAUCAUGCCCCUUAUGACCUGGGCUACACACGUGCUACAAUGGAUGAUACAAAGGGUUGCGAAGCCGCGAGGCCAAGCCAAUCCCAAAAAGUCAUUCUCAGUUCGGAUUGUAGGCUGCAACUCGCCUACAUGAAGCCGGAAUUGCUAGUAAUCGCGGAUCAGCAUGCCGCGGUGAAUACGUUCCCGGGCCUUGUACACACCGCCCGUCACACCACGAGAGUUUGUAACACCCGAAGUCGGUGGGGUAACCCU